rnacentral:rRNA from 1 species
GACGAACGCUGGCGGCGUGCUUAACACAUGCAAGUCGAGCGAUGAAAGCCUUAUGAACUAUUCGUAGUGAUUGGAGCCGGAUUAGCGGCGGACGGGUGAGUAACGCGCGAGCAACCUGCCUUAAACAACGGGAUAGCCUCGGGAAACCGGGAUUAAUACCGUAUGAGACCCCGCCUUCACAUGAAGAAGAGGUUAAAGAUUUAUCGGUUUAAGAUGGGCUUGCGUCUGAUUAGCUAGUUGGUGAGAUAAAAGCCCACCAAGGCAACGAUCAGUAACCGGCUUGAGAGAGUGAACGGUCACAUUGGAACUGAGACACGGUCCAAACUCCUACGGGAGGCAGCAGUGGGGAAUAUUGCACAAUGGGGGAAACCCUGAUGCAGCGACGCCGCGUGAGCGACGAAGGAAUUCGUUUCGUAAAGCUCUGUCCAAGGGGAAGAUAAUGACAGUACCCUUGGAGGAAGCCCCGGCUAAAUACGUGCCAGCAGCCGCGGUAA